GAUCUUACAAAAGAAACAGGUUUAUGCACUAAACGUUCUGUGCCUUGGUCUAACAGUAACACGAUGUCUGUAAAAUGACAGUAAGUACAGGUGUCGAAUCACGUUUUCUCCCCCUACACUCUGCAUUAUCCCAGACUGCUAAAUGUGUUCUUUCCAAGAAGUUUGAUGAUUGAAUUACUGUAUACAUUUACUGUCCUGUGCGACAGUUUUGCUAUUGUUAGAGAUUUCAGUAAUUAAACUGAGUGCAGUUUAGGGGAUCCUUUCUAAUUACGGGAAGGCACUUCUUUCCUUCAACACUGUGAUCUGACCUGUGACACAUCUGUACUAUACACUCUGUAAAUGGCUAACAAGUCAAUUGCAAACCAACUGAAUGUACAAAUCUUAGUGCUGGUGCUGAAAUCUCUUCAGAAUAGUCAUCACGAUCUCAAAGUUUGUUUCGAAAUUUGCAAGCAUCAAGUGUCAGUCAAAACUGAAGAUGAAACGCUCAUGAACGUUGACUCCUCGUGCUCUAGGCGUACUUCCGUUUCAGAUUUGCUGGUUCUCUGCUAUUCUUACCGUACUGUUUUCAUUUAAAUUUCUUACACGCUAACGUCGUUUGUGCGACUGAAAUAAAACUGCAGUAUAUAUAUGUUGCUGGUUUGUGACACUUAGCUAACCUUCUGACCUAAUCUGUUGGUUCUAAAAUAAGUUGUACGGAAUGUGAAAAACACGUUUUAAAGUCCAUGACUUCACUGCUUAAAGUUUACAUAUCACAACACUGUUCUUUAAAGAUUUCAUAGGCAUAAAUACUAAGUAAUGUAUACAAAGGGAAUAUGUGAUAAUGUAUCUACCUUUUCCUUGAAAUAACUGUUGGGUGUUCCCCAUGUGUUCUCAUUUUCUCUGGGCUCAGCUUGGUACAGUGUCUUACUCUAACAAAGGAUUGAUAAAUGUUUAAGUUUAUUCCAUUUUGUUCUACAACACAGACUUGUAAACUCAUUUGUGUGGUUACCAUUCUCCUCGAUAUAGUUUGCAGCCUAAGGGACAUUGUACGGUCAAGGGCCUUAUUGAGUGCUGAAUUUUAAAUCUAGCGAAAUCUGUAUCUGUAGUGUAUAUUUAUAUGGUGUGCUGAUUUCUUGAAACCCACGUAUAAGCAGCAGUACUUUUUAUCUGACUCUAUAGAAGUCUUAAUUUUGAGUUUCAUCUUACAUGUUCAUGUCUUCGUUAGACAUACAACGGUCCUUGUCUUUUUUCUUCCACCGCUCCCCAGCCUUCCCCUGCCUCAUCCUCUCCACUUGUCGCGGACGCUGUGUUGCUGCCACUCGCUGACAUAUGCAGCCCUUACCCAGCCGUUACCCAGCCCGCUGGGGUGAACAUGCUAACUGAUGCCCUUCUCUCCUUCCCGUCUCAAGUUCUUGCUGCCCUCCACGUAUAGAUAGGAGGGUUUGUCUACAAACUAAAAGUCACUUCCUGUUCAAAAACAAAUUCAGUAACACAUGGUAACCUUUCGGAUUUGCCUCGCUCCAACUUGGCCUCCCAAACUUGUAUGUACUUUCAGGGCCGUUGCGAAGACUUGGCCUUUAAAUCCUAAGGAGUGGAUCCUUUGAAGCACAGUUUCCAGAGGUACGCUACAGGAUCUCUGUGAUUCCUUUUCGGAGCCGUCAUAACUUUAUACCCCUGUUACCCUUUAAAUUCUCUCGAUUGUAAGCAUAAAAAGGACCUCCUCGUAUAUAAAGCGUGUGUGAAGGAACUCUGGGAGCUCUUAAUUCCCUCGCAAAGCUGUUAUGUAAUCCAUUUUCCUGGAGACAUUUACUGCAGCAUUCGUGUUAGAACUCCAGACCUGUUCCUGGUAGUACCGUUUUUGUUUUGAGUAGAAAGUUGGAUUCCUAUCUGUACGUCUCCUCAAAUCCCAAGAGUGUAUUGAAAUUACUGAUGCUUAAUACCUCUGACUUUUCACGGAAAAGCCAUUUAAUAUUUAGACUUAGAUGCUUCUGAAGAAUGUAACCUUUGAAUAGAAUUGUCCCAGGUACCUUUGGCUACAAAAGGACACAGUGGAGAACAUUUAUUGUUUAAGAGUAGUUUUCUCUUAAAAUAAGCACAUUUGGCCAAGCAGCUAAAGUGGGGAACCCCUCAAAAUAGGACAUUUAUAUGAGCCACGUACUGGUGGGGGACUGAAUGCAAAUGUUCCCUGUUCCAAACACCCAAAUAAGCUUAGUGUGGUUUAGGUUUGUUCCCUUUAUGUUGUCUCUAGAUCAUUUUUUUUUUAAAGUCUAAAAUUGAUGAGAAAAGAAUAUUAAUAAGGUAAAUAUAGGAUGGUUAACGAUAGGCAGCAUCAACUUAGAUAGAGGUCUAGGCUCUAUGCCUUGGUUUAUAUACCAGGGGUCAAUUUUCAGUUACUAUGGAUGUUGUCUGUUGGCAUAAGCUGUGUAAACUGAGGCAUGAGUAGCAUUUAAGGCUACAUGUAGUAGCCUUAAUUUGCUGAUUAGUUUAACAUAGAGAACAAAUAAAGCUGAAAUGUCAAUGAAGUGUUCCGCCAGAAGAACAGUCCCUGAGCUGUAUCCCACUUCUGCGAAGCCUGUUGUCUGCUAAACGGAGAGAAACUGCGCAGAGAGCAGAGCCCCUGGCAGCUUCUGAUGUGGGACCCUGGGAUUCCUAGAGAGGAAGUGGGGGCCAUGGCCCCGGGGCAGCCGAGGGUACAGCGGGCACAUGCACCGCUGUACCCUCAGAGAAUUUCCCUUUCACCUCACUUGUUAAAGGCAUGCCGCUCCUGGCAGUUAGAAAACUAAAGUACACCAGUGAACACUAAAUUCAGCCUCUUCUCAGCUGUGCUCUAGGAGAAUACAGCUUUCCAUUUUAAUAAAAAGUAUUAGAAAUGGUUAUUUCAUUGGAGGACUAAGUUUGCAUUUGUUCCAUACGUUAAAAAUCUGUAUGCAAGUCACAGCCUCAUAGUCUGUCAUGUUUAAAUUUGAUUUGAAUAACUUUUUUCCCCUUGGGUUCCAAGAGGAUUUCUUUAGUAAUAGAUAAUAGUUUUGUUUUGCUUCGUUUUUUUAAUAAAGAAGAAAUCGCUAAUUUAGGCAGCGAAUGAUGUUAUGUGGGUAUGUUUAGUGUUCUUUCAGCAUUUACAAAAACCUUUAUUAUGGGACACUUUACAAACACACGGAAAAAUAGAGGUUAUUACAGUGGCUGCCCCAGAGAGUCCCACUCAGACUCAGCAAUGACCAAUUUAUGACCAGCCCACUUCAUCUACACCUCCCCACUUCGGCUAGAAUAUUUUGAAUCAGAUCCAAGGGAGGUGUUUUUAGAGUUACUUUGAUUUGAGUGGUUGAGGAUUCAGAAGACAACAAAAGGCUCCCUUUUCAGAAGGUAUAUUCGAUUUUUAGUAAGCGGUGCUUCUUCCAAGAAGACUUAGGACAUAUUAAAUAGCAUGCAGUUGGUCUUUGGGUUAUACACUUCAAAAAUUUAUGUUGCAAGAAAUUUACAUUGGGGAAUGUUUAGUUCUCAAACAGGUUCCAACGUUUCCAUUCAAAUCUGUAGAAACAGAAGGUAGGGUCUUGGCUUACACUUUACGACAUAAGCUAUUUUAACCAUACAAAAGGCUUGUGUCACAGGAGGCUUUUUAAGAUGUGGUUCAUAAAGCUUGUGAUGUUUCAUGUCUUAGUUAUGUCUGUGGAACCUCAGUCUGAGUCCCUUCUUUAAAGGCAUUUUUCUAUUUGUUUCAUUAAAGUUUGAGGUGAGAAGUACCAAUUGGGGGGUUUUAUUGUCAGUAACCAGGUAGAACUUGGGUGUAAGCUUGGUCUGUUCUGCCUGCUGUGACAUUAGGUGUCAAUUUUUUUUUUUAAAGAGCCACAUCUGAGGCACAUGGAGGUUCCCAGGACAGGGGUCAACAUUAGGUGUUUAAAAUGUUUCGGGGUUUCCCUGGACACACGUAAGUCAGGUGUAUCUAUCCUUGGUGGUAGACUGAGUGCUGCCAUCGCGAGCCCCUCUGACUGCCAAUGCUGCCAGGCCACCCAGUGCCCCUGGUACCAGGGGUCAGGCACCUGAAAGCAGGGCUGAUGAAUUUAUAUAGACCUAAGUUCUGGACCCCACAGUGUUGGUGGAAGGCACUGACUUUAUCCCUGAAGUUUUUGGGGAGAAUCACUUCCCCGUGAGAAAAGUAUUGGGAGGGUUUAGAUAUUCAGAAGCACAUAGUAAAAUCUGGCCUCACUGUCUUUUUCUACCUAUUCAUUACCUAGGGCCAGGGGUUUCAGGUCUGAGCUAGGAGUUUAGAAUUUGUUUUCCUCAUCAUAGCUAUCUCAUUGUCACAGGUUUCAGUUGCUAAAGUUGAAUUUUAGGGGAUGGUAUUUGAUCCUUACAUGUCUGAAAGUAAUAAACACUGUUCAGAGAUUCUGAAUCCGUUUUGCCCCACCCCGUUCCUAGAUGAGCUUUGCCGGCUCAUGCCUCCCUUUGUGGGCAGUGGGCUGGUCCCCGGUGGGACCGGCUAUCAGACUGCUGGGCUGGUCCGCAUCCUCUCGGGCUGUGUCUCUGAGGUUGCUCCUGCGCCUGACACCCAGCUCUGCGUUUCGUCACCCACUGUGCGCUCUGCAGCCACUGCUUUCCUUUCUUUCCAGUCCAAGCAAAGGAGAAAAGGGUCUGAGUUUUGCUCUCUGAUCUUAGGUGCAGCUUUUAAUUGUUUCAAAAUCUUAGACCCUGUUCACUGAAAAACAUGCAUCUCAGGUGUGAACAAUAGGGAAAAGUCGAUGAAAUGACAGUUUGGAGAUCAGUCGUGCCGGCGGCAGUGUUAGUGCUGUGUUAGCUGCUGCUCCAGGGUCCCCUGCUGGUGUCUACAGCCAUCUCAGCAGGAAGCACGCACGCCCUGCUGUCCCCACACCCUGAUAAGGAUAACGUGGUGGCAUCAGUGAGACAUGAGCCCGGUGCUCCACUUAGGAUGUAUCAGUGACAAAGGCCUUUUGACUUUUUUCUGGCCUAGGGGCUCUUGAAGUAAACACCCCAGAGCUGGAUGGAGUGAAGCAGGUCUUUGUUUCUUGAGGAAUGCACUUCAGUGCCUGCCGUGGUGCUGUGGUUUGUCCUGUCACUGUCAUCCUUGAGAGGAAAACCAAUGCCCUUCCCUCUCUGCCCUGCUUACUAGCAGACAAAAGCUGUCAUUCCUUCCCAGGUCCUUGAUUUUAAUCCCGAAGCCUGACCACAAUUUCUUGCCAGGCCAGGUGACUCUCAUGCCAUCUGGGUGCGUGUUGCUCUUGGUUGUUUCUUGAUCUUAAGGAGAAGAACAUUGGCACGAAGUCAGAGGUAGCAAUGGGCAAGUUUGGGAUCAGAAAAGAUGAGUCCUGUUUUGCAGACAUUCUUUUAUUCUGUUCUUGGUCGGUUGGCAUGUGUGUUGUAGAGCUCACUCUGUUAGUAACAGGACAUGCUUUUCAUGAUGUAUGUUUUUUCUUUGGAAAAUGAAGUGUUUCUAACAAGUGAAUGAGAUGGAAGACUAUCUUGAGACAACUGUAGCUGAUGCAGAAUAUUCAAAACUCAGUUAUAACAUUUGCACAUUUUUGUAGAAAUCCUUUUUUUUUUGGUUUGCUAGAUCAGACUGAAUGAGGGAGCUUCCCUGCAGCCUGCAGGACUCUGGCCCGUAGCUGGGUAGAGUGGAUGAGUUAGGGCUAGCUGCCGCUGUGCUGGAGGCCGGCAGGACUUCAGGCAGAGGUUGACCCAGGAAGGUUCAGUGCAGAACUUUGCGUUGCCCCACCUCUGGGAGGAGUUUCCAAAACCUUUCACUUGACCUUGAACAAAAACCAGUUCCAUCGUGCUUUCUGCUGACCCUCUGGAGUGAGCAUAUGAGUGAAUGACUGGAGGCUUUUUUGGUGCUUUUCUUCUUGCUUUUGAGAAGCAAGAAGAGAGUCAGGGACGAACCUUUGUGAUUGGAGAAAGGCAUGCAUUGUUUCUUUCACACCUGCCCAGCUGAUAGGCCAACAGCAUCCAGUGGAAGAGCUCAGUUGGUAAAAUCUGAAAGUGGAUUUCUGGAAGUUCCUUUGCGGUGCAGCAGGUUAAGGAUCUGGCUUUGCCGAGGCUGUGGUGCAGGUCGAAACUAGCUCGGGUUCAGUCCCUGGCCCAGGAACUUUCUACAUGCCACAAGGGACACCCAAAAAAUUUUAAAAAUGAAAGUGAACUUCUGAUGGUCUAAAUGGGUUAGUCUCCCAUGUUAUCUUGCUUUGCUACAAAAUUUUAAAACUAGAAGUGUGCAUUUGUGUCCUUUAAAAGAUUAUGCAGAACUGUUCUGCUAAGAACGUGAACAUGUAGCCAUGAAUCUAGGGUUUUAUUAAUCGGGACUGAGCCUCUUGGGGCAGUAAGGACUGAAAUAUCGCUUCAGAAGUUAAGGUUGAGAAGUUCCCUGGUGGCCUAGCAGGUUAAGGAUCCUGGCCUUGUCAUUGCUGUGGCUCAGGUGGCUGCUGUGGUGUGGGUUUGAUCCCUGUUCCAGGAACUUCCAUGUGCCACCGGUGUGGCACAAAAAAAAAAAAAAAAAGCUAAGGUUGACUUAAGCAUAUCCAAGAACAUAUUUUAAUUGGAGUUAGAAAUUAUUUAAUAUGCAUACAGAAUCUUUUGUAUUUUAUCUCAUGGAAUUUCUAAGUUAUCAGCCUUGCUGAAUUUCAGGAGUAAAAGAAACUGGUAGCACCUUGUUUUAAAGCAACCAAUCAUAGGAGUUCCUGGUGGCCUAGUGGUUAAGGACUCAGCAUCGUCACAGCUGUGGGUCGCAUUUGGUCCCUGGCCUGGAAACGUCCCACGCCGUGGGUGUGGCCAAAAAAAAAAAAA
rnacentral:lncRNA from 1 species